rnacentral:rRNA from 1 species
GAUGAACGCUGGCGGCGUGCCUAAUACAUGCAAGUCGAACGAGGUGCUUUUGUAGCAAUACGAGAGUAUCCUAGUGGCGAACGGGUGAGUAACGCGUGGAUGACCUGCCCCAAAGUGUGGGAUAACAGUCCGAAAGGAUUGCUAAUACCUCAUGUGGUUAUCGGUUUUAGAAAGCGAUAACUAAAGCAGCAAUGCGCUUUGGGAGGGAUCUGCGUCCCAUCAGCUAGUUGGUGAGGUAACGGCUCACCAAGGCGACGACGGGUAGGGGACCUGAGAGGGUGGCCCCCCCANAAUGGAACUGAAACACGGUCCAUACACCGUACGGGUGGCAGCAGGUAGGGAAUAUUGCUCAAGUGGGACGAAAGCCUGAAGCAGCAACGCCGCGUG